GCAGUCGAGCGAACAGACGAGGAGCUUGCUCCUCUGACGUUAGCGGCGGACGGGUGAGUAACACGUGGAUAACCUACCUAUAAGACUGGGAUAACUUCGGGAAACCGGAGCUAAUACCGGAUAACAUGUUGAACCGCAUGGUUCAACAGUGAAAGACGGUCUUGCUGUCACUUAUAGAUGGAUCCGCGCCGCAUUAGCUAGUUGGUAAGGUAACGGCUUACCAAGGCAACGAUGCGUAGCCGACCUGAGAGGGUGAUCGGCCACACUGGAACUGAGACACGGUCCAGACUCCUACGGGAGGCAGCAGUAGGGAAUCUUCCGCAAUGGGCGAAAGCCUGACGGAGCAACGCCGCGUGAGUGAAGAAGGUCUUCGGAUCGUAAAACUCUGUUAUUAGGGAAGAACAAAUGUGUAAGUAACUAUGCACGUCUUGACGGUACCUAAUCAGAAAGCCACGGCUAACUACGUGCCAGCAGCCGCGGUAAUACGUAGGUGGCAAGCGUUAUCCGGAAUUAUUGGGCGUAAAGCGCGCGUAGGCGGUUUUUUAAGUCUGAUGUGAAAGCCCACGGCUCAACCGUGGAGGGUCAUUGGAAACUGGAAAACUUGAGUGCAGAAGAGGAAAGUGGAAUUCCAUGUGUAGC
rnacentral:rRNA from 1 species